CUGCCUUUCCACGUAGGUGCAGGCUUCAUCUUGCUGUGGUUUCACCACCAUGAGUUGUUCCUUCCCAUUUACUUUUACAGGAAUCCUGGGUGGAAUACAGGAUCCCACAGCGCUCUGACAUGGAAAACACUCUGAGGAGGCAGAUUGACUGAGGAUGACCUCUGGGUAGGAGAUAAGAGAGCCCCACGUUCACCACUGCCUCCUGACCCUCAGGAAAGAUGCUUCCCACUUCUCACCUCUGUGUGUCAUCUAUGAAGCAAGGAUAAUGGUUUGAACAAGCUCCGGGAGAUGGUGAGGGUCAGAGAGGCCUGGAGUGCUGCAGUCCAUGGGGUGGCAAAGAGCUGGACACAACUUGGUGAUUGAACAAUAGCAACAAAUGACUUACUUCUUUAGGACCUUAGAACAUCUAACCCCUUAAAGGAGCCAGACAGAAAUUGUAUCCAAGGUCGCAUCAUUCUGGCCGUGGGGCUUCCAACACAUGCAGAUAGAACAGUAACACAGACUUCCCACUUAGAGAAACAUCCUUCUCAGGCCCUGGGUCCCUGAGUCUGAACCCCUAGUGCAGCCAGGCUAAGGAGGAAAGGAAAUGAAUACGUAAUGCGCUUAUAUCUCCAGUGUGGUGCUGAUAAAAGUCGAUCUCUUUUGAAUGGAGGGGGCCGCUUGAGCGGCCAUCAUUCUGACCCGAGCUGCGUCUUGACUUUUAAUGGUUCACAGUUUCUCGGGGGAAAAAACAAAUCAGCAGUCUUGAUAAUUAAAAGUUGCUAAUGUCUCCUUCCCUUUCCCUUGUAAAUUAAAAUGAUUUGACGUAGGAAGAAGAGAAGACAGAAUUCAGUUAUUUUUGGUAAUUGCAGUGUCAAAUUGAUAAUUUGCUCAAUCUUCUUGCAAAAUUGCCUAAUUGAGAACAACGAAGCAGAUGGUUCUUUGUUCUGGGUGUUUGUUGACUAACCCGUUAGCAAGCCCUCGGCUCGCUUCCCAUCCCAAAUGCAAAGGUUUGGGACAAGCUGUGCAGCCCCAGCAAGGCGUUCUGCAAGCUUCCAAA